rnacentral:rRNA from 1 species
UACGUAGGGGGCAAGCGUUGUCCGGAUUUAUUGGGCGUAAAGAGCGUGUAGGCGGCCACACAGGUCCGCUGUGAAAACUCGAGGCUCAACCUCGAGCUGUCGGUGGAAACCGUGUGGCUAGAGUCCGGAAGAGGAGAGUGGAAUUCCCGGUGUGAGCGGUGAAAUGCGCAGAUAUCGGGAAGAACACCCGUGGCGAAGGCGGCUCUCUGGGACGGUACUGACGCUGAGACGCGAAAGCGUGGGGAGCGAACAGG